UACGGAGGGGGCUAGCGUUGUUCGGAAUUACUGGGCGUAAAGCGCACGUAGGCGGCUUUGUAAGUUAGAGGUGAAAGCCCAGGGCUUAACCCUGGAAUUGCCUUUAAGACUGCAUCGCUAGAAUCGUGGAGAGGUAAGUGGAAUUCCGAGUGUAGAGGCGAAAUUCGUAGAUAUUCGGAAGAACACCAGUGGCGAAGGCGACUUACUGGACACGUAUUGACGCUGAGGUGCGAAAGCGUGGGGAGCAAACAGG
rnacentral:rRNA from 1 species